AGUAACGCGUGAGGAACCUGCCUUUCAGAGGGGGACAACAGUUGGAAACGACUGCUAAUACCGCAUGACACAUAGAGAUCGCAUGGUUUUUAUGUCAAAGAUUUAUCGCUGAAAGAUGGCCUCGCGUCUGAUUAGCUAGUUGGUGAGGUAACGGCUCACCAAGGCGACGAUACAUAGGGGGACUGAGAGGUUAACCCCCCACACUGGUACUGAGACACGGACCAG
rnacentral:rRNA from 1 species